rnacentral:rRNA from 1 species
ACGUAGGGUGCGAGCGUUGUCCGGAAUUAUUGGGCGUAAAGGGCUCGUAGGCGGUUUGUCGCGUCGGGAGUGAAAACCAUGGGCUUAACUCAUGGCUUGCUUCCGAUACGGGCAGACUAGAGGUAUGCAGGGGAGAACGGAAUUCCUGGUGUAGCGGUGAAAUGCGCAGAUAUCAGGAGGAACACCGGUGGCGAAGGCGGUUCUCUGGGACGGUACUGACGCUGAGACGCGAAAGCGUGGGGAGCGAACAGGA